CAGCAGCCGCGGUAAUACGAAGGGGGCUAGCGUUGUUCGGAACUACUGGGCGUAAAGCACACGUAGGCGGGUAUUUAAGUCAGGGGUGAAAUCCCAGAGCUCAACUCUGGAACUGCCUUUGAUACUGGGUAUCUUGAGUAUGGAAGAGGUGAGUGGAAUUCCGAGUGUAGAGGUGAAAUUCGUAGAUAUUCGCAAGAACACCAGUGGCGAAGGCGGCUUACUGGCUCGAAACUGACGCUGAGGCGCGAAAGCGUGGGGAGCAAACAGGAUUAGAUACCCCGGUAGUCCCUGUCUCUUAUAC
rnacentral:rRNA from 1 species